AUUGAACGCUGGCGGCAGGCUUAACACAUGCAAGUCGAGCGAGCGGCGGACGGGUGAGUAAUGUCUGGGAAACUGCCUGUUGGAGGGGGAUAACUACUGGAAACGGUAGCUAAUACCGCAUACCAUCAGAUGUGCCCAGAUGGGAUUAGCUAGUAGGUGGGGUAAUGGCGAACCUGGGCGACGAUCCCUAGCUGGUCUGAGCGGAUGACCAGCAACACGGGAACUGAGAAACGGCCAAAACCCCUACGGGGGGCAGCGGUGGGGAAUAUUGGACAAGGGGCGAAGGCCUGAUGCAGCCAGGCGGCGUGUGUGAAGAGGUCCUUCGGGUUGUAAGGCACGUUCAGAGAGGAGGCGUUACUCACAGAAGAAGCACCGGCUAACUCCGUGCCAGCAGCCGCGGUAAUUC
rnacentral:rRNA from 1 species